GACACGACAACACUAAAGGAACUCAAAGAAGCUGUGCACAUCAACAACAACGUGUCUGCACGGAUUAUCUGAUUCGAGAGUUGAUGACCACGACGACACGGCUUAGACGCUUCCUGACCUUAGUGGGUUCUAUGCACCAAGCGAAGCUGUUAUUACAAAAGGACAGGCUCUUAAAUUCUCUCGAAACUUCGGUAGUAUCAGUAUGGGGUCAGUAUAACACUAAUGAAAUUGUUCGCGAUGCGAGAUGAUGAUGCGCGUGAUGAUGCGUCUACGCGCAGUCUUCCUCAGUGGUUCAUGGCUCAUCUGUUGCGAUGAAAGAAGUCACUAAAAAGUCCCAUAACAUCAGUUCUCAAGUUCGGUAAGACGGCCUCGCGAUCUUCUGCGUCUACUGGAUACGCAGGCAGCACACGAAGAAUGGACCAAUAUUGGCCAAUUAUGGCAACUGCAACACGGCCCUAUAUUGGCAAGCCAAUAUCGCUGUUAUGGGUCCAAUAUUGGCAGGCCAGUUUUGCCGUUAUCUCGUAUAUACCUUCAUUGCAUCUUUCAGAUUACUCUAUUAUCUCAACAAAAAUCGCAAAGGUCAUGUACGAUUUGUGAUUUUUUGCUAGAACACUUGGGUUUCUAAUAAAUUAUU